AACGCAGCGAAGGGCGAUAAGUAAUGUGAAUUGCAGAAUUCAGUGAAUCAUCGAAUCUUUGAACGCACAUUGCGCUUCCUGGUAUUCCGGGGGAGCAUGCCCGCUUCAGAAUCAUUAAAACUCUCAUUGCCAUGUUGUUUUCUGACAGCAUGUCAGUGGAUUUGGACGGUUUGCAUUGACUAUUCAAGCAUCGUCUUAAAAUGAUUGUAUGGCAGCCAAUCGGUUAUUUGGUUCCAAGGUGCAACAGAUUUUAUCUUUCGCCAAGGAUAUCAAUGUAUCUGUUGGUGGUCAUUUCCAACUUAUGAACAGUUGGGAUAUCGUUUGAUAUCUCUUCUGAUAACUUGGUCUGAAAUCGGGCAAGAAAACCCGCUGAACUUAA
rnacentral:rRNA from 1 species